AGAAGGGAGCAGUGGGCCUCUCAUGGUGGGCCAUUUUUUCUCGUAGCUUUUCUCAUUUCGCUGCCUUCACAGCCAUGCUGUGACGGAGCACGGCUGUCCUUUCUCUGGCUUCCACCUCAUUGCCGAUGGCUGCAGGAGUAAGACCAAUGGAGGUGGCCACAAAUGCCUUCCUCAUCUGAGGGAGUCAGAAACACAUGAAGGCCUCUCAAGGCAGGGAGAGACCCAGCCCAAACUUCGCUGCCCCCAUUCACGGCUGUUCUCCAAAGGGGAGGCAAGCCUGAACGUUGGCAUGGCAGGGAGACAGCACAUCGGAAAACAGCAUCGACUUCCCCAUUCUGCUCAUGUCUGGUUGUGCAACUUGCUUCAAGUUACACAGCGCUCCACUUUACAAAGAUUUUCAAUAUUAAAUAGCCUCUUCUAUGGGUUCUGAACUGCGUCUGCUUUCAUCCAUCUCUUCAUUUUCACCCUACCAUUUUUAAACUCAGGUCCUCUGGAUGUUUUUUUCUGAUUUAAAUGCAGAAAUAAAUGGGAAGAAAGAAGGAGAGCGUCCCUUCUGCAGUUGCUUGAAACAGACUUCACAAUGCUUGAAAUGGCAUAAUAACAGAAUUUAUUCUGCUGUUGUAAAACUCCAAGUGCUUUCAUAACUAGUUAAAUAACACCUGAAAUAAAAAUUCUCAUAGUAUUAACAUUAUUGUGUAUCAUAUUUUCAGAGAUUGCUGUAAACUAUCAUCAAAGAGUAAGUUACCAGGCUGACAAAGCAGGGAGAUUUUGUUGGGCUCAGUAUAGCCAGGAAAU
rnacentral:lncRNA from 1 species